GACAGAGGUGCCGAGCGUUAGGCGGAAUUACUGGGCGUAAAGCGCGUGUAGGUGGUGGGACAAGUCUGCUGUGAAAGCGCCUGGCUUAACCGGGCGAGGUCGGCGGAAACUGUCCGACUCGAGGACGGUAGAGGGGGUGGAAUUCCCGGUGUAGUGGUGAAAUGCGUAGAGAUCGGGAGGAACACCUGUGGCGAAGGCGGCCCCCUGGGCCGGCCCUGACACUGAGACGCGAAGGCGUGGGGAGCGAACGGG
rnacentral:rRNA from 1 species